AUGUGAUCGUCUCUCGCAUAUCAAUAAGCGGAGGAAAAGAGGGCUAUUACCUACGCUUAGGAUGUUGACGAGACUGUCGAUCUCAUCUAUACGUGACUCUGUGCAUAUCAAUAAGCGGAGGAAAAGAAACUAACAAGGAUUCCCCUAGUAACGGCGAGUGAAGCGGGAAGAGCUCAAAUUUGAAAUCUUAAAGGGUUUCCCUUUACGAAUUGUAGUUUAAAGAAGUGUUUUCUGUUGAGGUUUUGGUAAAAGUUCUUUGGAAUAGGACAUCAUAGAGGGUGAGAAUCCCGUAUUUGACCUUUACUUUCAACUUUGUGAUACACUUUCAAAGAGUCGGAUUGUUUGGGAAUGCAGUCCAAAAUGGGUGGUAAAUUUCAUCUAAAGCUAAAUAUUGGCGAGAGACCGAUAGCGAACAAGUACCGUGAGGGAAAGAUGAAAAGAACUUUGAAAGGAGAGUUAAACAGUACGUGAAAUUGUCAAAAGGGAAGCGUUUGACACCAGUGUUGUUUUUCUGAAAAUCAAUUAAAGAACUGUUUAUGCUAAGUUGUUUAGACUUUAUCAGCUAACUGUUUAGUUUUGAGCUUUUCUUUAAUGCACUUUUCAGUCAACAAGUCAACAUCAAUUUCUUUUGCUGUAAAAAAGCUUGAGGAAGGUGGCUUGAGAUUCGUCUUAAGUGUUUAUAGCCUCUUGCCUAUGCAGUCGGAGAGAUUGAGGUCUGCAGCGUAGAUCCUUCGGGGCUAAAUGCAUUUGUGCUAAGUUAUAGCAUUUUAUAGACAACUUGUUGACUAUGAUUUGUCUUGUAGCUUACUCGCUUAUGUUAUUUUACCUACGCUUAGGAUGUUGACACACGCGCGUGCUCG
rnacentral:rRNA from 1 species